UACGUAGGUGGCAAGCGUUGUCCGGAUUUAUUGGGCGUAAAGCGUAUGCAGGCGGACCUUUAAGUAGGAAGUGAAAGGGUAGAGCUCAACUCUGCCACUGCUCCCUAUACUGGAGGUCUUGAGUACCGGAGAGGACAAGGGAACAGGUCGUGUAGCGGUGAAAUGCGUUGAUAUCCUCAGGAACACCGGUGGCGAAGGCGACUCACUGGGUCUUUACUGACGCUGAUGCACGAAAGCUAGGGUAGCAAACGGG
rnacentral:rRNA from 1 species